rnacentral:snoRNA from 2 species
ACGGUCUGAAAGUCACCUCCGGUCUCCCGUGGCCCUGGUGAGAUAACUGUGCCGACAGCACGAGGAGCAUUAAGCUUAUUGCCCACGGCCAUGUGUGGGGAGUAAAACCCAUGUUCCUACAAGC